rnacentral:rRNA from 1 species
UAGGGAAUCUUCGGCAAUGGACGAAAGUCUGACCGAGCAACGCCGCGUGAGUGAAGAAGGUUUUCGGAUCGUAAAACUCUGUUGUUAGAGAAGAACAAGGACGUUAGUAACUGAACGUCCCCUGACGGUAUCUAACCAGAAAGCCACGGCUAACUACGUGCCAGCAGCCGCGGUAAUACGUAGGUGGCAAGCGUUGUCCGGAUUUAUUGGGCGUAAAGCGAGCGCAGGCGGUUUCUUAAGUCUGAUGUGAAAGCCCCCGGCUCAACCGGGGAGGGUCAUUGGAAACUGGGAGGCUUGAGUGCAGAAGAGGAGAGUGGAAUUCCAUGUGUAGCGGUGAACUGCGUAGAUAUAUGGAGGAACACCAGUGGCGAAGGCGGCUCUCUGGUCUGUAACUGACGCUGAGGCUCGAAAGCGUGGGGAGCAAACAGG